rnacentral:rRNA from 1 species
GAUGAACGCUGGCGGCGUGCCUAAUACAUGCAAGUCGAGCGAACAGACGAGGAGCUUGCUCCUCUGACGUUAGCGGCGGACGGGUGAGUAACACGUGGAUAACCUACCUAUAAGACUGGGAUAACUUCGGGAAACCGGAGCUAAUACGGGAUAACAUGUUGAACCGCAUGGUUCAACAGUGAAAGACGGUCUUGCUGUCACUUAUAGAUGGAUCCGCGCCGCAUUAGCUAGUUGGUAAGGUAACGGCUUACCAAGGCAACGAUGCGUAGCCGACCUGAGAGGGUGAUCGGCCACACUGGAACUGAGACACGGUCCAGACUCCUACGGGAGGCAGCAGUAGGGAAUCUUCCGCAAUGGGCGAAAGCCUGACGGAGCAACGCCGCGUGAGUGAAGAAGGUCUUCGGAUCGUAAAACUCUGUUAUUAGGGAAGAACAAAUGUGUAAGUAACUAUGCACGUCUUGACGGUACCUAAUCAGAAAGCCACGGCUAACUACGUG